rfam:Gossypium hirsutum cultivar TM-1 scaffold6845.1_1, whole genome shotgun sequence
AUGCCCUGAUGAGGGCACUGUUGUAAUAACUCCUUGAACUGCUGCUAUGCCUCAUAUAAAGAUUCUUCAUCAAAUUGCUGAAAUAAAGUGAUUUCAUUUUAAAGCUU